CCGCUCUCAGCUCCGACAGUGAGCAAGCACUCACGGCGACUACUGUUAAUGGCCAGUACCAGCCAUCUACUUCACCUUCACUCGAUCUUGUUAAACUAAAUUCCACCAACCACCCAAAGCCGCUUACCAUCCUCGACCUCUCCCCCGGCCCGAUGCACGGCUCCGACCUCCGCGUCGCCUACCAGGGCGUCCCCGGCGCGUACAGCGAGGCUGCGGCCGGCAAGGCCUACCCCAACUGCGAGGCCAUCCCGUGUGAUCAGUUUGAGGUCGCUUUCCAGGCGGUCGAGCUCUGGAUCGCCGACCGCGCCGUCCUCCCCGUGGAGAACUCGCUCGGCGGCAGCAUCCACCGGAACUACGACCUCCUCCUCCGCCACCGCCUCCAUAUCGUCGGCGAGGUCCAGCUCCCCGUCCACCACUGCCUCCUCGCCCUCCCCGGCGUCCGCAAAGAGUACCUCACCCGCGUCAUCAGCCACCCGCAAGCCCUCGCCCAGUGCGAGCUAACCCUCACCAAGCUCGGCCUCAACGUCACCCGCGAAGCCUUCGACGACACCGCCGGCGCCGCCGAGUACGUCGCCGCCAACGGACUCCGCGACACCGGAGCAAUUGCCUCAGCCCGAGCAGCCGAGCUCUAUAACAUGCAAAUUCUCGCCGACGGCAUACAGGACGACGCCGGCAACGUGACCCGCUUCGUGAUGCUAGCACGAGAGCCGGUGAUUCCUCGCACCGACAGGCCGUUCAAGACGAGCAUCGUCUUCGCUCAUGAUCGCGAAGGGACGUCGCUGUUGUUUAAAGUACUGUCGGCUUUUGCGUUCAGAGAUAUUAGUUUAACAAAAAUUGAGAGCCGGCCGCACCGACACCGGGCGUUGAGGAUAGUCGACGACGCUAAUGUCGGGACGGCGAAGCACUUUGAGUACAUGUUUUACGUGGAUUUUGAGGCGUCGAUGGCGGAGACGAGGGCACAGAAUGCACUGGCAGAGAUUCAGGAGUUCACUACGUUUCUUCGUGUGCUCGGGAGCUAUCCGAUGGAUAUGACGCCCUGGAUGUCCGGCGGUGGCACCGAAGCCGGCGCCGGAGUUGGGGAGGAUUCGUCCUCGUCACAAGUGUGAGGUGUGGUUGGUGAGGGAGUGAG
rnacentral:misc_RNA from 1 species